rnacentral:rRNA from 1 species
CUGCGGAAGGAUCAUUACCGAGUGCGGCCCCUUCGGGGUGCCAACCUCCCACCCGUGUCUACCGUACCACGUUGCUUCGGCGGGACGCCCCCUCGGGGGCCGUCGGGGGGCAUCCGCCCCCGGGCGAGCGCCCGCCGGAGACCACACGAACGCUGUCUGAAGACUGCCGUCUGAGUGGAUUUUAAAUCAUACAAAACUUUCAACAACGGAUCUCUUGGUUCCGGCAUCGAUGAAGAACGCAGCGAACUGCGAUAAGUAGUGUGAAUUGCAGAAUUCAGUGAAUCAUCGAGUCUUUGAACGCACAUUGCGCCCCCUGGCAUUCCGGGGGGCAUGCCUGUCCGAGCGUCAUUGCUACCCUCAAGCGCGGCUUGUUUGUUGGGUCGCCGUCCGCCCCGUCCGGGGGGGACGGGCCCGAAAGGCAGCGGCGGCACCGCGUCCGGUCCUCGAGCGUAUGGGGCUCUGUCACCCGCUCCGUGGGACCGGCCGGCGCCAGCCUGGCAACCUCUUCUUUCCAGGUUAACCUCGAGUCGUUAGGAUACCCCGACUA